AGCCUGAACGCUGGCGGCGUGGUUAAGACAUGCAAGUCGCACGGUGUAGCAAUACACAGUGGCGAACGGGUGAGUAAUGAAUCGCUAAUGUGCCCCGGACUCUGGGAUAGCCAGUCGAAAGACUGGGUAAUACCAGAUGACAUAUCCCUACCGCAUGGUUGGGGAUCUCAAAGGUCCGCCGGUCUGGGAGCAGGCGAUUUCGUAUCAGCUAGUUGGUGAGGUAACGGCUCACCAAGGCGACGACGCGUAGCCGGACUGAGAGGUUGGCCGGCCACAUCGGGACUGAGACACUGCCCGGACUCCUACGGGGGGCUGCAGUAACGAAUCUUCCCCAAUGCACGAAAGUGUGAGGGAGCGACGCCGCGUGUGGGACGAAGUCCUUCGGGAUGUAAACCACUGUCAGGGGAUACCAAGUUCUGAGGAUCCCCGAGAGGAAGAGGCGGCUAACUCUGCGCCAGCAGCCGCGGUAA
rnacentral:rRNA from 1 species